rnacentral:sRNA from 1 species
GGGGCGGCGGGUCAGCCGCUGGCCGGGCCGGCCGGGGGAUGUCGAUGCCUGACGCGAUGCCGCUGCCCGGGGUCGGGGAGGAGCUGAAGCAGGCCAAGGAGAUCGAGGACGCCGAGAAGUACUCCUUCAUGGCCACCGUCACCAAGGCGCCCAAGAAGCAAAUCCAGUUUGCUGAUGACAUGCAGGAGUUCACCAAAUUCCCCACCAAAACUGGCCGAAGAUCUUUGUCUCGCUCGAUCUCACAAUCCUCUACUGACAGCUACAGUUCAGCUGCAUCCUACACAGAUAGCUCUGAUGAUGAAGUUUCUCCCCGAGAGAAGCAGCAAACCAACUCCAAGGGCAGCAGCAAUUUCUGUGUGAAGAACAUCAAGCAGGCAGAAUUUGGACGCCGGGAGAUUGAGAUUGCAGAGCAAGGAAACGUGCUCAGGGGGAGAAGCCCUUGGCUGGUGCUAAAAUAGUGGGCUGUACACACAUCACAGCCCAGACAGCGGUGUUGAUUGAGACACUCUGUGCCCUGGGGGCUCAGUGCCGCUGGUCUGCUUGUAACAUCUACUCAACUCAGAAUGAAGUAGCUGCAGCACUGGCUGAGGCUGGAGUUGCAGUGUUCGCUUGGAAGGGCGAGUCAGAAGAUGACUUCUGGUGGUGUAUUGACCGCUGUGUGAACAUGGAUGGGUGGCAGGCCAACAUGAUCCUGGAUGAUGGGGGAGACUUAACCCACUGGGUUUAUAAGAAGUAUCCAAACGUGUUUAAGAAGAUCCGAGGCAUUGUGGAAGAGAGCGUGACUGGUGUUCACAG